CCGGCCUUAGCUUAGUUGGUAGAGCAUCAGACUGUAGUGGAACCGGUUCCUGCCGGUUACAAUGAAAUCUGAGGGUCUCCGGUUCGACUCCGGAAGGCCGGA